GAGACUUUAGGUCCAUCCAUUCUGUCCAGUCUGGUCCCACCCAGGCGCCAAAGCCUUCUGUGCCCAGAUAGUGCUGUUCCCCCAGUACUCUGCCCUCUCUGCCCAGGCUUGAGCUUCUGAUCUCUACUCCAGGGCACUUGCUGAAUGGAGCUUUGUUCUCCACCGCCAGCGUGGGCGCCAUACAGCAAGGGCAGUCCCCAGGGGGCUGUACAACUUUUAUCCGAGGAUUCCAGGAUGUCAGGCUGGGGUACAGUGCAAGCCCCCUUGUUCAAUGGGCUUCUCGGAAAGCAUCUGAAGAGGGCUGGGGUGCAGCGGGAAGCAGGCUGUGUGCCCACCCUGACUAUUGUGUCUGUGCCAAGGUGAGUCACUCAGCAGGCACAAGGAGGAGACUCUGGGGGUAGCCAGCCCAGCACCGCCAGGUCUCCCACUUGCAGACAAGGCCUGGCUGCUUGCCCCAGCCCCAACUCUCAAGCCAGCUCAGGCCCCCAAGCUCCAGUAAAAGCAACACCCCCAACUCCACACCAGGGGGACAUGUUUUUCAAUUGGACAUCUGAUGAGCUGGCUACUAAGGUUUCCCUCGAUGAGUCCCAGUGCAGAGAGGGAGGUGAGAGCCCUUGGGCUCCAAUGACAUUUGCCCCUGGCCUGAGUAGUGUCAUGAUGAGGGAAAUCCUGAGGAGGGGGUCCUGGUGACCUUCGAUCCUGAUGUGGGUUGGGUGGCUGGGGAAGGACAAGGUAAAGAAAGAACAAGACAAGGCAGGAGACUUUGUCCCCAGCCUCAUCUCUGGGGUGGCCUACCCUUCCUAGCUGCCCAACAGGAAAUAGUGUGUGGUGUUGCCUUCUUUAAGGCAAAUUGAAGGGAAAAAUGGGCAAAGAGGUCCUGGAGGGAAAAGAUACAAUAAGAACAGAAGCUGCUCAUCACUGGAGCUUAGAGACUUGCUCCUGUGCAUGCAGACAUGAGUUUGUUUUAGCACCAGCACAUGGGGUCACCCAGGCUCCCCAACCUUGGCCUUCUCCUUGUGCCCUGUUAUAGCCCAGUUCCAUCCUCAACUCCCACAGGAUCCUGAGACCCCUCCCACAAUCAGCCCCAAACUCUCUCAGGAAUCUCACCAGAGACAAAAGUCAGUCAUGGUUGUUUUGCAAACUUUCAUAACCAUUAUUUUUUGUGACACAAUUAUUGUAGAAAAAUCGGAAAAUACAGAUAAGCAAUACAAAAGAAUUUAAUUAGCCAUAAUUUUACCACAUGGAGAUAGAUACCAGCUUUUUUCUACACAUAUAAACUCAAUUUUCCAAAAUAGGCUCAUGCUGCACAAAUUAUUUUGUAAUUUGCUUUUCUUACUCAACAAUAUGUUGUGAACAUCUUUCCAUAUCAAUAAAUAUUUAUCUACAUCAUCAUUUUAACAGUUGCAUGGUUUUCUACUAUCUGUGUUCAUUUAACCAAGCCCUGUUGUUAGACAGUUACGUUUGCCUUUCUCUCUCUCCUAAACUGUCCUCAUGCCCAUCUGCCCCAGACAGACAUAGCCACCGGAGCAAGGCAGCCCUCAGCCCUCCCAGCCUCUAAUGGGACACCCAUCCUCCCAGUCUGGCUUAGGGCUCAUUCUCUGAGGUGCCUCCUCUUCUGCUUCUCCAACAGGAAGGCCCCAACAUCCAAAGCCUCAGGCCAAAGCCUAAGCCGACUGGUAGAUGGA
rnacentral:lncRNA from 1 species